rnacentral:rRNA from 1 species
UACGAAGGUGGCAAGCGUUACUCGGAAUUACUAGGCGUAAAGGGCAGGUAGGUGGUUCGGUUAGUCUGUUGUGAAAGCUCCUUGCUUAACGGGGAGAGGCCAACAGAUACUGCCGGACUUGAGUAUAGGAGAGGGUACUGGAAUUCCCGGUGUAGCGGUGAAAUGCGCAGAGAUCGGGAGGAACACCAAUGGCGAAAGCAGGUACCUGGACUAUUACUGACACUCAGCUGCGAAAGCUAGGGGAGCAAACAGG